rnacentral:rRNA from 1 species
UACGGCGGGGACUAGCGUUGUUGGGAAUUACUGGGCGUAAAGCGCGCGUAGGCGGAUUUGUCAGUCGGGGGUGAAAUCCCGGGGCUCAACCUCGGAACUGCCUUCGAUACUGCAAAUCUCGAGUCCGGAAGAGGUGAGUGGAAUUCCUAGUGUAGAGGUGAAAGUCGUAGAUAUUAGGAAGAACACCAGUGGCGAAGGCGGCUCACUGGUCCGGUACUGACGCUGAGGCGCGAAAGCGUGGGGAGCAAACAGG